UGCAAGUCGAGCGAAUGGAUUAAGAGCUUGCUCUUAUGAAGUUAGCGGCGGACGGGUGAGUAACACGUGGGUAACCUGCCCAUAAGACUGGGAUAACUCCGGGAAACCGGGGCUAAUACCGGAUAACAUUUUGAACCGCAUGGUUCGAAAUUGAAAGGCGGCUUCGGCUGUCACUUAUGGAUGGACCCGCGUCGCAUUAGCUAGUUGGUGAGGUAACGGCUCACCAAGGCAACGAUGCGUAGCCGACCUGAGAGGGUGAUCGGCCACACUGGGACUGAGACACGGCCCAGACUCCUACGGGAGGCAGCAGUAGGGAAUCUUCCGCAAUGGACGAAAGUCUGACGGAGCAACGCCGCGUGAGUGAUGAAGGCUUUCGGGUCGUAAAACUCUGUUGUUAGGGAAGAACAAGUGCUAGUUGAAUAAGCUGGCACCUUGACGGUACCUAACCAGAAAGCCACGGCUAACUACGUGCCAGCAGCCGCGGUAAUACGUAGGUGGCAAGCGUUAUCCGGAAUUAUUGGGCGUAAAGCGCGCGCAGGUGGUUUCUUAAGUCUGAUGUGAAAGCCCACGGCUCAACCGUGGAGGGUC
rnacentral:rRNA from 1 species